GACGAACGCUGGCGGCGUGCCUAAUACAUGCAAGUAGAACGCACAGUUUAUACCGUAGCUUGCUACACCAUAAACUGUGAGUUGCGAACGGGUGAGUAACGCGUAGGUAACCUGCCUGGUAGCGGGGGAUAACUAUUGGAAACGAUAGCUAAUACCGCAUAAUAUUGAUUAUUGCAUGAUAAUUGAUUGAAAGAUGCUAUUGCAUCACUACCAGAUGGACCUGCGUUGUAUUAGCUAGUAGGUGAGGUAACGGCUCACCUAGGCGACGAUACAUAGCCGACCUGAGAGGGUGAUCGGCCACACUGGGACUGAGACACGGCCCAGACUCCUACGGGAGGCAGCAGUAGGGAAUCUUCGGCAAUGGACGAAAGUCUGACCGAGCAACGCCGCGUGAGUGAAGAAGGUUUUCGGAUCGUAAAGCUCUGUUGUAAGAGAGGAACGGGUGUGAGAGUGGAAAGUUCACACUGUGACGGUAUCUUACCAGAAAGGGACGGCUAACUACGUG
rnacentral:rRNA from 1 species